GCUGUUGCUUGCUCUAGAGUUUGAUGGUCAAAGGGAGUGAGUGAAAGGGAAGAAAGAAUCUGAUAUGGAAGAAAGCAACACAUUGACAAGAGAGCCUUUUCUUGCUCAAGAACAGCAAACUUCAUCUUCUCUGAUCAAUCAUUUGUAUAUUGGUCACUUCUUAGCUAGAUGGGAUGCCAGGAUGUGGGAAUUCUCUGUUGGUUUAUAUAUGGUCAACAUAUGGCCAGACUCUUUGUUGUAUGCAGCAAUAUAUGGUGCCAUUGAGUCAGCCUCCAUUGCACUGUUUGGCCCCAUAAUUGGAAGAUGGGUUGAUAAGUUGUCUUAUGUGAAGGUUUUGCAGUUGUGGUUGGUGACACAAAAUCUCUCUUUUGUUAUUGCCGGGGCAACUGUAGUUGUUUUACUUGUCAACUCAUCUUUGAAGUUUACAAAUUUUUCAGCUUUCACAUUACUCUUAUGGACCAUCAAUAUCUGUGGUGGCAUUGGUGUGCUUUCUACCCUUGCCGGUACAAUCUUGAUUGAAAGAGAAUGGUUGUUAGUUAUAGCGGAAGGUCAACCCCCAGAAUUUCUGACAAAGAUAAAUUCAGUUAUAAGACGCAUUGAUCUAACCUGCAAACUUCUUGCUCCAGUUAUUACUGGGUUUAUAAUAAGCUUUGUUUCACUAGAAGCAUCUGCUAUAACUUUAGCACUGUGGAAUACUGUGUCCGUUUGGGUGGAGUAUUGGCUUUUUACAUCUGUAUAUAAUGGGAUUCCAGCAUUAGGCGAAAGUAGCCAGAAGAGGAUUGCAAGACUUUCACAAUGUGAUCAACAAAGAAGCAAUCCAACUCUGGAGGAAGAUAGCUUGUUUUCUGUUACUGGUGGUAGCUCAGAAUUGGUCGAUAGAAAACACAGUAAAAAACUUUGUCAGAAGAUUUCAGAAAUUCCUUAUGUUGCUGCAUGGAAAGUUUAUUUAAAGCAACCAGUUGCCAUUCCUGGACUAGCUCUGGCUUUGCUAUAUUUCACUGUACUCAGCUUCGGAACUUUAAUGACAGCCACCUUAGAAUGGGAAGGCAUACCUGCAUAUGUUAUUGGAAUAGCAAGAGGAAUAAGUGCUGUGAUUGGAAUUGUUGCAACAGUUGCAUAUCCUAUGCUACAGUCAAAAAUAACAACUAUUAGAACAGGACUUUGGUCUGUAUGGUCUCAGUGGACUUGCCUCCUUCCAUGUAUAGCUGCAAUGUGGAUCCAUAGGGGAUUUCUAUCAUCAUAUAUUCUUAUGGGCAGUGUAGCCAUUUCUCGGCUUGGAUUGUGGAUGUUUGAUUUGUCUGUGCUUCAACAAAUGCAGGAUCUUGUUCCUGAAUCUGAUCGUUUGAUUGUUGGGGGUGUCCAGAACUCACUUCAGUCUUUGAUGGAUUUAUUGGCGUAUGUUGUGGGAAUCAUAAUAUCUGAUCCUCGGGAGUUUUGGAAGUUGACAUUUUUAUCAUUUCUAGCAGUCACAUUAGCUGCACUCCUCUACUGCAUCCAUGUAUAUCAUGUGCGGAAGCACCUCUUUCACUUUGAUCGUCUAAAGUGGAAUUAAGGAUAACAUUUGUAUAAGAUGCUGAAAAAAAUGCUUGAAAUUCUAAGACUGAGUUGGCUUCAUAGAACAGGACCAUUCUGGUUGUAUUAAGAAGUACAAUGAUGUGGUUGUGGUUGGAUACCUUAAAAUAAUGAGAUAUUAUUAAUCUAAUUCUGGGACCAUGAAAUAUAUAGUGACAUCUAAACUUAACAUUUUGGUUCUCUGUAUAUUUUUUAUUUCCAAUUCUGGGACCAUGAAAUAGUUUAUGCUUCUCCAUCAAGAGUGGUAGCUCUCUAUUGCACCACAAUCAAGGGCAACUGUCAUAGGCUAGCAAAAACCACUCUUCUGUUCACUUCAUCAGCCAAAUUACAAAAACUGAGUGAGUUGUGAACCCAAAUUGUGCUAUAAAUACCACGAAAAGUUAGAUUCAUGACAUGGGAAUCACAAAGAAGAGAAGCAUACAAAAUUGUAAAGGUUGAAGAGUUUGUGCAUUUUGUAUCAGGAAAGAUUGUAAGUUUCACUUUUAUUCAUUCUCAAAUGAAGAGCAUUUG